rnacentral:lncRNA from 1 species
AAACAAUUUGAUUAAUCCCCGUCACCAUUUCGAGAGACUUCGGUUGGGUCAAAGAGAUCUCUUCUCAAAUAAGCAGUUGCCACACCUCUCUGGCCUUUCCUCAGAACUAGCUGAUGACAGAAGCGAUGGGAUGUGGAUCCUCGAUGCCUCAUUUCCCCGGGGCCUCAUGUCUGCUCAUCCUGCGGCGCUGGGUGGGCUCUCCCGCCAUCCGUGGAGAGGGAGCACGCCUCUGAUUUAUGAUCUGUUCUGUCAUGCUGCAGCCCAGCAUCCUGUCCAGCCUCUGCGCCAUGGACCAAAGCUUGUGAGGGACGUUCAAAGGCAUCUUUUCCUGGCAUAUUAAUCCUCCUACAAACACACUCACUCUCUGCAGGGCAGGUACUUAGCUCCUCGUUUCCAUUUGAUGGCACUACACAACACAAUCAAGACGCUUCCUGGCUCCUCCCCUUGUUCUAAUUUGUAGUGAUCUGGAGUGCCUGCCUUUGCCAUUUCUCGUGCCUGUGGAGGAAGACUGGUCCGUGAAACAGCACCACCCUGGAGUUGGGCCAGGUUUGCACAGUUAUAAAAUCUGACGGUGAAGGAGCCCUGCCCAGCUGACAGCAACUAAGCUGAGUUCCUUGGGCGAGUCAGCCCAUUUGUCCUCACAACAGUUCUACAAAGCAAAUUCGAUUAUUAUGGCCAUUUUACAGGUAAGAAAAGCAAAGCACGAAGCAGUUAAAUAACUGGCCCAAGGCCACCCAUCUGGGAAGUGGUGGAGCCAAGCGCUGACCUCAGGCCGUCCAGCUGCAGAGCCCAUACUCCUUACACGCGUGUCGCUGCCUCACACGGACACCCACCAAUGACAGCCAGGGCCAGCCUGCUCCAGUCUGAUUUGUUGUGAUGUUUUCUGAUAGUCACUGAACUGAUUGGAUCAAACCAUUUUGUCGUUGUCGUUGAUGAUGAUGAUAACGAUGCUGCUGCUCUGGUUGGUUGGUUGGUUGGUUAUUGUUUUGCUCAAAGGAAUUACUGUCUGGCUGUUAUGUGUCAAGCAUCUUCAUCUCCAUUAUCUCUUUUUGUCUUCCCAAUAAUCCCAUAACAUACAGGUUACUAUUCCUACUUUACAGAGGCUCAGGCAAGGCUUACUCUUACCCAAAGUCAGACUGCUAGUGUUUACACAUCAUCCAGAAAGCCCGAGUGGCCAAGGGCUAUGGUCAAGGACCUUCUGCUUGUAGACCAGGAAACAUGACUAUGGCCCCAAACGUCCACCAAGAGAUUGCAGGAGAGAAGGUGGGGGCCACAGCAGAGCAGGCUCUCCCAGAGGCAGCCGAGGGGAGGAAAGUCACAGGAAAUCUGCUUUCUGCUCCUUGUCGCAUUGCCACGUGCGUCAUCACUUGCAGGCACCAUGACACAAGGAAAACCAUCUUCCCUUCCAAAACCUGCUCUGAAGAUUGAUUAGAUAAUGGCGGCAAAGUGUUUUGAAGAGAAGUAGUGGAGGAAACCCCCCGUGUUUGGGUUUGGGUUGAUUCUCAGGGGACGUCGGAUGAGAUUAAGGCCAGUGAAUGGGUCUGCUCAGGUGGCUGGGCUGCUGUGUGUGAGAAAGGAAUUGUUUCCCAUACAUGGCUCCUUGAGGGGCUGCGGAAAUCCCCUGGCUUUGCUCCACAGCUGAGUGCGUCUUCCUUCAGCUUGGCUGUCACACAAGGAAAAGGACACUUACCCAGUCAGUUCAACCACAGAUGGCCCCAGGAACUGCUGACGUGCACUUAGCCAUCGAAGGGUGCCUUCGGUGAAAGACAGUCACCAAACGUUUCAGAACAUGACUCCCACAGAGUGGAGUACUAUGCAGCAGUGAAAAAGGAGACGCGAGCUCUCCCUGUACUGAUAUGGAAAGACCUCCAGGCUACACUGCUAAGUGAAGAAGAGGAAGGUGUUGAAUGGGAUAUUUAAAACAUGAUACCUUUUGUUCAAUAAAGAAAUAAG